rnacentral:rRNA from 1 species
UACGUGAGGGACCAAGCGUUGUUUCGGAUUUGACUGGGCGUAAAGGGGUGCGAUAGGCGGCGGCGGAAAGUUGGGUGAUGAAAGUCCCUCGGCUCAACCGAGGAACUGCGCCCAAAACUACCGUGCUCGAGGGAGAUGAGAGGUGAGCGGAACUUAGGGUGGAGCGGUGAAAUGCGUUGAUAUCCUAAGGAACACCGGUGGCGAAAGCGGCUCACUGGAUGCCGUCUUCUGA